rnacentral:rRNA from 1 species
GNNGCUUACCAUGCAGUCGAGCGGUAACAUUUCUAGCUUGCUAGAAGAUGACGAGCGGCGGACGGGUGAGUAACGCGUAGGAAUCUGCCUAGUAGUGGGGGACAACAUGUGGAAACGCAUGCUAAUACCGCAUACGCCCUACGGGGGAAAGGAGGGGAUCUUCGGACCUUUCGCUAUUAGAUGAGCCUGCGUGAGAUUAGCUAGUUGGUGGGGUAAAGGCCUACCAAGGCGACGAUCUCUAGCUGGUCUGAGAGGAUGAUCAGCCACACUGGGACUGAGACACGGCCCAGACUCCUACGGGAGGCAGCAGUGGGGAAUAUUGGACAAUGGGCGCAAGCCUGAUCCAGCCAUGCCGCGUGUGUGAAGAAGGCCUUAGGGUUGUAAAGCACUUUCAGGAGUGAGGAAGGGCGUAUAGUUAAUACCUGUAUGUUUUGACGUUAACUCCAGAAGAAGCACCGGCUAACUCUGUGCCAGCAGCCGCGGUAAUACAGAGGGUGCGAGCGUUAAUCGGAAUUACUGGGCGUAAAGCGCGCGUAGGCGGUUUGUUAAGUCGGAUGUGAAAUCCCAGGGCUCAACCUUGGAAUGGCACCCGAUACUGGCAGGCUAGAGUACGGUAGAGGGGUGUGGAAUUUCCUGUGUAGCGGUGAAAUGCGUAGAUUUAGGAAGGAACAUCAGUGGCGAAGGCGACACCCUGGACCGAUCCUGACGCUGAGGUGCGAAAGCGUGGGGGAGCAAACAGGAUUAAAUACCCUGGUAGUCC